rnacentral:lncRNA from 1 species
CUCUAUUGCAAUGUAACAAAAAUGGCGUGAAGUUUUUGCACCCUAGCUUAGGUUUGACGUAGACCAGGUCUGAAAGUAUUCAUGAAAAUAACUAACCGUGGAAAAUAAAAAUAACUAACUCCAACAUCAUCUCAAAUCGACAAGGAACAUCUAUCAUCUGUCAUUUUCAGCGUAUGUGGACUCUACAACAUCAGCAAUAACACAUGGAGCCUAAUAAGGCAGGCCUCCAUCAUCUAUCCUUUUCAAUGAAUUCAAGUAAAUAGAAAACAUCAUGAGCAAUAACACAUGGCGGGUGACUAGUAGACCAUGUUAUAGUGAAUGGUAGAAUGGAUAAACCUAAUCAAUGUCGGUUUGUAACAGCCUUCAACUCUAGUAAGAAACCAACCUAUAGGUAUCAACAAGAAAACUCCCGAGUCCCAACCAAGAUUUGAGAAAUGAGACCGAAAGAGGGGUGACUGGGUGAGUCAAUUGCGUGUUGAACAUUUCAAAGAAGAUUAUCCUGUUUCUUUUGGACGGUUGAUGGACCCAGCAACCAUAGAAAUGAAACAAGCUUCACGAAAAGUUGGAUAAUGGUAGACCACCAACUGUCAAAUAUUAACUAACAUAACUAACCCUUUUCUGAGGGCAUUGAAUCCUUGAGUCCAUGCAAGGAUUUUGGGUUAAGUGGGGUUGGACAGUUAAAUGUGGGUCCACGCGUUUAACUUUUUAGAAAAUGGUUCCUUAUGACAUAAGUUACAUAUAUUUAAUUUUUUAGAAAAAGGUUCCUUAUUACAUAAGUUAUAUAAAUGCAUACAUCAAUGAAAUGUAUCAUGAUAUCUAGAAUUAUGUAUGUAUGGGAGACAUGGGUUAUGUGGAGGUUAUUAUGUUAAAGGCAGGUAAGAACAAAGUAACAAUCUUUCAACGGAUCUAGGAGUGCUUGAGAAUUUUCUACCAGUCAGAAUAAGACCGACGGUUGAUGAUUUGGGGGCACUUUUUCAAAUCAGAUUGUACAUGAUUUGUUUUGAAGCAGUGUUUUCGCUAAGAUCAAACUGUUGUUGCCGCCUCUAUAUCAUUCCAAAUGUCUUGAUCUUUCAGAAGGGAAGAAAAGAGUUGAGGAAGUUAAAAACUUCUACCACAUAAACUUCAUCAAACUUCAGUGUUGUUUUUGAUGGCCAACUUCACCAACCAGAAAAAUAAACACCAUUAAAAAUUUUAAAAUUGUAAAUCCAGACAAAAUUUGUUGCAUUGUAACUAAAGCCCAGAAAGAGGGCACUAUUAGAGAACUUGACAACACCUGGGCCUGGACAGGCCUAGAUGUUGAAGCCUAGGACAAUGAUAUUGCUCGGAACUCCAUCGCGGACCGUACUUUACAGCUUAUUUGCAAUGUUUUCAGAACUGGACCGGUUAUUGAACCAGAAAGUUACCAGUUCACGGUUCAUUGAUCGGACCGGUGGUCAAUUUUUUAUUAUUUUAUAUAUUAUUUAAAAUUAAUAAAUUAAUAAAUUCUAUCUAAAUUAGUAAAGAAACUAGUUAACCUACCAAAUUAAUUGAACCCCCAAAAAGAAAAAUAUCAAACCAGAAAGGUAAGAGUUUUUUAUUUGAAAAAUAAACUACAUUGCAUGAAUAAUGGCAAUUUUUUUUUCUUUUUCCGUUUCUUUCCCUUUCCCUCUCUUUUCUCUAAAAAGCCGAGGGGUGGGGGGUUUACAGGCGACCGGGGGUGUGGGAUGUUUACAACCGAGAGGAGGGGGGGGGGUACCAACCGGUUGGGGUGGUUUCCAAGCUUCCAGUGGCAAGAAGGGGUUUCCAACACCGACUUCCAACGCCACGACGGGGAACUGGGAAGACUGAAAGUGGCGACGACAGGGAGGGUUGUUGUCUUGUAACGAUUGACGCCGGCGGGCGGCAGCUGUUGCAGGGGGAGGAGGGAGGGUUUGGACUUUGGAGGUUGCAGGACUCCAAAACACCGUCAUUUUGAUGUUGUUUUAAAAAAAAAAAUUAAAAUAAAUUGAACCGGCUAGUUCACAGGGAACCGACCGGUUCGUCCGGUUCACCGGUUGGACCGCCAGUUCAAGCGGUCCGACCCCGAUUCAAUCCCAAUCCGAUCCAAUUGACCGGACCGGCCAACAGUCAAACCAACCAAUCCGGUCCGAUUUUUAAAACAUUGCUUAUUUGUUCUACAGGUUUGACGCAUAUGGUUCUAAACCAAACAAGGUGGAGAUAAAAGAGGAAAGCUUGUAGGGCCCAAUAGUUUGGCAUUCUACUAAUCAGGUGAAACUUAGUGAGAAGAUUUCCAAGGAGAACCAAAAACAAAUAAAAAUACAUAGUAUGAAAAUUUCCAAUGAAUUUGAUGUGUCUACUAGAAUUAUUUCAAUAUGUGCUUCAAUGGCAGGAGUUUAUUUAUAAAUCAAUGCAUACUUUGGUUGACAUAUAAUUUAUAUUUACAGGAGGAAAAGAGAAUUUCACUCACAUCCAGCUUGAGGGGUAUGUUUACAUUUCAGAUCAGGUUGGACUUUGCAUACAUUUGGACCUUAAAGGCUAUGUUUGGUCUCGGAAAAUGUGAGGGAAAAUUUGAGAUAACAAAAAUAGAAAGGACAAAUAAAAAGAAAGAAAAGUGAAGAUAAAUAAAAAAAUAACUUUAAAGUCAG